UACGAAGGGGGCUAGCGUUGUUCGGAAUCACUGGGCGUAAAGCGCACGUAGGCGGAUCUUUAAGUCAGAGGUGAAAUCCCAAGGCUCAACCUUGGAACUGCCUUUGAUACUGGGGAUCUUGAGUCCGGGAGAGGUGAGUGGAACUGCGAGUGUAGAGGGUGAAAAUUCGUAGAUAUUCGCAAGAACACCAGUGGCGAAGGCGGCUCACUGGCCCGGUACUGACGCUGAGGUGCGAAAAGCGUGGGGAGCAAACAGGG
rnacentral:rRNA from 1 species